rfam:Myotis lucifugus cont2.28882, whole genome shotgun sequence.
GCCAGCAUGGCUCAGUGGUUGAGCAUCAACGUAUGAACCAGGAGAUCCGGGUUCAAUUCCUGGUCAGGGCA